UCGAACGGCAGCGCGGAGAGCUUGCUCUCUGGCGGCGAGUGGCGGACGGGUGAGUAAUGCAUAGGAAUCUGCCCAGUAGCGGGGGACAACCUGGGGAAACUCAGGCUAAUACCGCAUACGCCCUACGGGGGAAAGCGGGGGACCUUCGGGCCUCGCACUAUUGGAUGAGCCUAUGUCAGAUUAGCUUGUUGGUGGGGUAACGGCCUACCAAGGCGACGAUCUGUAGCUGGUCUGAGAGGACGAUCAGCCACACUGGGACUGAGACACGGCCCAGACUCCUACGGGAGGCAGCAGUGGGGAAUAUUGCACAAUGGGCGAAAGCCUGAUGCAGCAAUGCCGCGUGUGUGAAGAAGGCCUGCGGGUUGUAAAGCACUUUCAGUAGGGAGGAAACAGUAACGGAACAAUACCCGUUACCUUGACGUUACCUACAGAAGAAGCACCGGCUAACUCUGUGCCAGCAGCCGCGGUAAUACAGAGGGUGCAAGCGUUAAUCGGAAUUACUGGGCGUAAAGCGCGCGUAGGCGGCUUGGUCAGUCGGAUGUGAAAGCCCCGGGCUUAACCUGGGGAAUUGCAUUCGAUACUGCCAGGCUAGAAUGUA
rnacentral:rRNA from 1 species